GCCUGGCGCUUUUGGAGGAGCCUAUGUCUGAUUAGCUUGUUGGUGAGGUAACGGCUCACCAAGGCGACGAUCAGUAACUGGUCUGAGAGGACGACCAGUCACACCGGAACUGAGACACGGUCCGGACUCCUACGGGAGGCAGCAGUGGGGAAUAUUGGACAAUGGGCGAAAGCCUGAUCCAGCAAUGCCGCGUGUGUGAAGAAGGCCUUCGGGUUGUAAAGCACUUUAGGAUGGAAAGAAAAAACUUCAGUUAAUAGCUGAAGUCUUGACGGUACCAUCAGAAUAAGCACCGGCUAACUCUGUGCCAGCAGCCGCGGUAAUACAGAGGGUGCAAGCGUUAAUCGGAUUUACUGGGCGUAAAGCGUGUGUAGGUGGUGGCGUAAGUCGAUUGUGAAAUCCCCGGGCUCAACCUGGGAACUGCCUUCGAUACUGCGUCACUAGAGUACGGUAGAGGGUGGUGGAAUUUCCGGUGUAGCGGUGAAAUGCGUAGAUAUCGGAANGGNAACAUCAAUGGGCGAAGGCAACCACCUGGGCCUGUACUGACACUGAGACACGAAAGCGUGGGGAUCAAACAGGAUUAGAUACCCUGGUAGUCCACGCCGUAAACGAUGACAACUUGACGUUGGUUUGCUUAGCGAAUCAGUGUCGUAGCUAACGCGAUAAGUUGUCCGCCUGGGGAGUANCGNGCCGCNAAGGUUGAAACUCAAAGGAAUUGACGGGGGCCCGCACAAGCGGUGGAGUAUGUGGUUUAAUUCGAUGCAACGCGAAGAACCUUACCUGGCCUUGACAUGUCCGGAAUCCUGCAGAGAUGCGGGAGUGCCUUCGGGAAUCGGAACACAGGUGCUGCAUGGCUGUCGUCAGCUCGUGUCGUGAGAUGUUGGGUUAAGUCCCGCAACGAGCGCAACCCUUGUCCUUAGUUGCCAUCAUUCAGUUGGGCACUCUAGGGAGACCGCCGGUGACAAACCGGAGGAAGGUGGGGAUGACGUCAAGUCAUCAUGGCCCUUAUGGCCAGGGCUACACACGUACUACAAUGGUGUAUACAGAGGGUCGCCAAGCCGCGAGGUGGAGCUAAUCCCAUAAAGUACAUCGUAGUCCGGAUCGGAGUCUGCAACUCGACUCCGUGAAGUCGGAAUCGCUAGUAAUCGCCGAUCAGCAUUUGCGGCGGUGAAUACGUUCCCGGGCCUUGUACACACCGCC
rnacentral:rRNA from 1 species